UGGAGAGAUGGUGUUGGCUUCUGCUGGAUCAGAAGUAAUAAGUGCAGGGGAGGACUGGGAGGAUAAAUUGGGUGUGUUAGGAGUAAUAGAUAGACCAGAAGGCACAGAGCUGGGAGGGGCCACAAGUUCAGUGUUGGAUGGAAUGGAUUGUUGAGAAUUGGCUGAAGAAGAAGAUGAGAGACUAACAGUCUGUAGAGGGACAAGAAUAGAGGAAAGAAAUGGCACAAAC
rnacentral:lncRNA from 1 species